ensembl:lncRNA
GUAUAGAUGAAACAUGACAAUCUUACAAUAAGAAUUAACUCUUAGUUACCCUUUCAUAUAGGCUAAUCAAAGAAAUAGGUAAACUGCUUUUGAAAGUGAUGCAAGUGGUUGUUGUGUUUUUGAACCCGAUGGAGAGGCAGAACAUUGAUGCAAUCUUGGAAUUAAGAUUAAGCCCAAAAUCUCCCUCAGCGUUCACUUUUGAUGAAGAAGCAGCAGAGAAGGAGGGCCGAUACCCAAAUGGUCACAGCCAAUAGGGACGCUCGACCCAAGAAAAGCAAGCAGAAGACUGGAGCAGAUGACACAGACCUGUUGAUUACUCAAUCCCAGAGCAACAACUCCUUAAAUGCUGAAGAAGCCCAUGAUAACCCACUGGAGGAAAUUACUCUAGGAGAGCUCAGCCUAAAAACCACUGAUGCUACAGAUGAGAUGCCCCCCGAGAAACCCAUCAUCACCAAAACUAUGGACGUGGAAAUUGACAGCCAGCCAAAGCCUAAACUUAGUACAGAAAAUGAAGGCCCAGCAGAAGUGAAAAAGAAAGAGAAGGAGAAGAAAGAGAAAGGUGUGAAAAAGGAGAAGGCGCAAGCAAAACGUGAGAUCAUUUUAUCCUAUGAGAUAUGACACACACACACACACACACACACACACACACACACACACACACACACACACACACACACACACACACACACACACACAGCAAAAACAGCAGCAAACACACAGCAAAAAUACACAACACACACACACAAUAUCAUGUGUGUAUGUGUUGUGUAUUUUUG